rnacentral:miRNA from 3 species
AGCUCAUCCAUAGUUGUCACUG